rnacentral:tRNA from 1 species
GCCGGCGUGAUGGAAUGGCAGACAUGAUGGACUCAAAAUCCAUUGGUGGCAACACCGUAUCGGUUCAAAUCCGAUCGCCGGUACCA